AUAUAGUCGGCGGAUUAUUUCCGACGCGUCAUGUCGCGAGCGCUGCCGUCCCAAUACCAAUCUAAACACAUUACCGAAAGUCGGCCUAAGCUCUGAACGUUUAUUACGCUUCUGUUUUAAAACAUUGAUUAACUAAAGUUCACACAAUGUUGGGCGUGCAACAUAAACUCAUCAGAUUUUAUAGCUCUUAGGAUUUCGUGUGUUGGUGGUGGUUUUUAUAGUGUUCACUUUUCAUAAAUAAACCGAUGAGUAUAUUCAACUAACAAUAUGAUCGUCAUAUUUUUGUUUCUAUUUUUGCUGCACUCUCAAUGUGGUUUAUCGGAUGACAGACUGAUAGGCGGUAUAUUCUACAAAGAUGCGGAAGACAUGCAAGUCGCUUUAAAAAUAAGCGCUAAAAUGUAUAAUUAUACUACUUCGAUUAAAGAAGUAUCAAAACGAGGAGAGAUUUUAGAAAUCAGCAAACUCGUGUGCGAACUUGCAAAGGAAGGAGUAGUCGGUAUAAUCGACGGUCUAGGAGGACGUGCAAGCGAACACAUCCAAGCCGUGAGUGAUAUGCUUGAGCUACCUCACGUGAUAAUACCACACAAUGAUUUAUACGCUCAGAACUGGUCGGUCUUAAACAUGUACCCCAGUCCCAUAGCGUAUAACAGCGCUUUAAAAAAUAUUAUAGAAUACAAAGAGUGGAAAAACUUCACGCUAUUAUACGUAAGGGGGAAUAGUUUAUUAAAAAUGACGGAUCUGAUGAGUAUGGGGAACAGUACCGACAAACACACGGUUAUAGUCAGGGAACUAAGUGGAGAUGAUUACAGAGACGUGUUAAUAAAUGCGAAGCAGAACGGCUGUGUAAACUUCGUGGUAGACUGUCCGUCGAGGAAUCUGGAACAGUUAUUGAGCCACGCUCAACAAGUCGCCUUAAUGGCGGAGGAACAUUCGUAUAUCAUUUUGUCGCCUGAUCUAUUUACCCUGGACUUGGAGCGAUACAGAUAUGGCGGUGUUAAUAUGACUGGUUUCCGUAUGGCCAAAACUUCGAACAAUGAAAUAUUGUGGAACUUAACUGCUCAAUUUAAUGAAGAUACGGGAAGUUCUUUUGAACCUGAUGAUAUAAACACUAAUAUAUUAUUGAUACAUGAUGCUAUAGUAGUGUUCAAUGCCGCUAUGGACAAAGUGAACGUCACACCAUCUGAGCUUGAUUGUGAUAAUUAUGAGUCAUGGACAUAUGGAUCAACUCUGCUUAACUUUAUGAAAACGAACAAAAUUGAAGGUUUAACAAGAACGUUGCUAUUUGAUGGCUUUGGACAGAGGGUUGAUGUUACUAUGGAUUUAUUAGAAUUGACUCCAUCUGGUAAUCAAACUAUUGGAACGUGGAAGGGAAACAAUUUGUUGAUAGAAAGACCUAUAACACCCGGGACAGAAAUAGGAGAAGAAUCUAUCCUAAAAAAUAAAAGUUUGAUAGUUCUCAUAUCUAAGACCGCACCUUACGGCUUCGAGAAACAAUCGUCCACGGAAUUGGAAGAUAACGAUCGCUACGAAGGAUUCACAAUAGAUCUGAUUGAUAUGUUGUCAAAUAUUCUAGGUUUUAGCUAUAAAUUCAGAGUCGAGAGUAAUUAUGGUUCUCUUGAUACUGGCGAAUGGGAUGGAAUGGUCCGCGAGCUAAUGGACGAGAAAGCAGAUUUGGCAAUAUGUGACUUAACUAUCACAGCCGAAAGACAAUCUGCCAUCGAUUUCUCACAGCCAUUCAUGACACUUGGUAUUGGUAUACUUUAUAAAGAGCCAAGCAAACAACCACCUGAAAUGUUUUCUUUCAUGGCUGUGUUUUCAAAAGAGGUUUGGUACAAUAUGAUGCUAAUUCAGUUAGGGUUGGGGUGCAUUAUGAUUUUCAUCGGGCGCAUUUCACAAAAGGAAUGGCAAAAUCCCGUACCGUGUAUCGAGCAGCCUGAAGAACUUAGCAAUCAGUUCAGCUUCGCUAAUUCGGUGUGGCUUAUCAUUGGUUCUGUGAUGCAGCAGGGAUCGGAGAUUGCUCCUAUUGCUUUAGCUCCUCGAAUGAUCACUAGUGUAUGGUGGUUCUUCACGAUGGUGAUGGUGGCUUCAUAUGUGGGAACUUUAGUAGCGUUCCUGACUGUCGAAAAGAACGUAUUACCGUUUGAGACCCUGGACGAACUAUACCGUCACAAAUCGAUCUCUUAUGGGGCGAAAGUGAAAGGCUCAACUAUAGAUUUUUUCAAGAAUUCAACAACGGACUUCCACGUGGAAAUGUAUAAAAAAAUGAAAAGUCGCGGCUGGCUCGUCAAAAACAAUGAUGUCGGAGUGGCUUUGGCUGAAAACAGUACAUACGCAUUCUUUAUGGAAUCAACAUCUAUAGAAUAUUAUAAGGAGAGACAUUGUGAUUUGAUGCAAGUCGGCGAUUUGCUCGAUUCAAAGAGUUACGGAAUUGGGAUGAAAAAACAUUCCCCCCUACAAGCGGUACAUUGACGAUGCGCUGUUAAGAUUGAAGGAAAAAGGUGAAAUACAAAAAUUGAAGGAUGUUUGGUGGAAGGAAAAGAGGGGAGGCGGCAAGUGCGGAGUUAAAAACAACGAAGAGGAAAAACAACUGGGAAUGAAGAAUAUGCUCGGUGCGUUCGUGGUAUUAGGAGUGGGCUGUCUUAUAGGACUGUUCUUAUCGACUCUGGAUAUGCUGUGGGGGGUGUUUAAGCGGUCCGUUAAAUACGGAGUAAGUGACAACAUUCAAAUACGAGCUAAUAGAAGAGUUGAAAUUUGCUCUCACGUUCAGUGGGAAUGUGAAACCUGUGAAACGAAACCUGAAAG
rnacentral:misc_RNA from 1 species